CCUGCAAAACGAAUCUAAGUUCCCCCUUAACCCUCUUUUUCCUCCCCAGACAAACCCAACCCAAAUGUGAUAGUUAAGGGCUAUUUAAAGGGGGUACAGCCCCUUUAAAAAAGGACACAACCUCCACCAGCGGAUAACCCCUGUACGCCCAACCCCGUGGGCCUUAAAGCAGCCACCCCCAAAGAUUGCGUCAAAGCUCCAUCAACCAAAAACCCCCAAAACCAAUGCGACUCCCUACACCCACAGCAGGCCAACCUAUAACAAUAGAUGAAUCAAUGCUAGAACGAGUAACCAGGACACUAUGUCCCCCUAAGCGCCAGCCUGUAUACCAUUAACAGUAAAACCUCAAUAAUAACCACCCCCACCAUUGAACCCACCCUGUCAACCCAACUCAGGGGCGCACACUGGAGUGAUCAAAAUCUACAAAAGGAACUCGGCAAACCUAAGACCCGACUGUUUACCAAAAACAUAGCCUUCAGCCAAACAAGUAUUGAAGGUGAUGCCUGCCCAGUGACACCAUGUUUAACGGCCGCGGUA
rnacentral:rRNA from 1 species